GCGGCGGACGGGUGAGUAAUGCUUAGGAAUCUGCCUAUUAGUGGGGGACAACGUUCCGAAAGGRGCGCUAAUACCGCAUACGUCCUACGGGAGAAAGCAGGGGACCUUYGGGCCUUGCGCUAAUAGAUGAGCCUAAGUCGGAUUAGCUAGUUGGURGGGUAAAGGCCUACCAAGGCGACGAUCUGUAGCGGGUCUGAGAGGAUGAUCCGCCACACUGGGACUGAGACACGGCCCAGACUCCUACGGGAGGCAGCAGUGGGGAAUAUUGGACAAUGGGGGGAACCCUGAUCCAGCCAUGCCGCGUGUGUGAAGAAGGCCUUUUGGUUGUAAAGCACUUUAAGCGAGGAGGAGGCUACCUAGAUUAAUACUUUAGGAUAGUGGACGUUACUCGCAGAAUAAGCACCGGCUAACUCUGUGCCAGCAGCCGCGGUAAUACAGAGGGUGCGAGCGUUAAUCGGAUUUACUGGGCGUAAAGCGUGCGUAGGCGGCCAAUUAAGUCAAAUGUGAAAUCCCCGAGCUUAACUUGGGAAUUGCAUUCGAUACUGGUUGGCUAGAGUAUGGGAGAGGAUGGUAGAAUUCCAGGUGUAGCGGUGAAAUGCGUAGAGAUCUGGAGGAAUACCGAUGGCGAAGGCAGCCAUCUGGCCUAAUACUGACGCUGAGGUACGAAAGCAUGGGGAGCAAACAGGAUUAGAUACCCUGGUAGUCCAUGCCGUAAACGAUGUCUACUAGCCGUUGGGGCCCUUGAGGCUUUAGUGGCGCAGCUAACGCGAUAAGUAGACCGCCUGGGGAGUACGGUCGCAAGACUAAAACUCAAAUGAAUUGACGGGGGCCCGCACAAGCGGUGGAGCAUGUGGUUUAAUUCGAUGCAACGCGAAGAACCUUACCUGGCCUUGACAUAC
rnacentral:rRNA from 1 species